CACGCCGUAAACGUUGAGAACUAGAUGUGGGCGGGCUGGCCCCGUUCGUGUCCAAGCAAACGCGAUAAGUUCUCCGCCUGGGGACUACGGCCGCAAGGCUAAAACUCAAAGGAAUUGACGGGGGCCCGCACAAGCGGUGGAGCAUGUUGCUUAAUUCGAGGCAACGCGAAGAACCUUACCCGGGUUUGACAUGCACAGGACGUUCCGUGAAAGCGGAAUUCCCUUCGGGGUCUGUGCACAGAUGC
rnacentral:rRNA from 1 species